rnacentral:rRNA from 1 species
AUACGGGAGGCAGCAGUGAGGAAUUUUGGACAAUGGGGGCAACCCUGAUCCAGCCAUGCCGCGUGUGUGAAGAAGGCCUUCGGGUUGUAAAGCACUUUCGGACGGAACGAAAUCGCGCGGGUGAAUAUCCCGCGUGGAUGACGGUACCGUAAGAAGAAGCACCGGCUAACUACGUGCCAGCAGCCGCGGUAAUACGUAGGGUGCGAGCGUUAAUCGGAAUUACUGGGCGUAAAGUGUGCGCAGGCGGCCGAGCAAGUCGAGUGUGAAAUCCCCGGGCUUAACUUGGGAAUUGCGCUCGAAACUACUUGGCUCGAGUGUGGCAGAGGAAGGUGGAAUUCCACGUGUAGCGGUGAAAUGCGUAGAGAUGUGGAGGAACACCGAUGGCGAAGGCAGCCUUCUGGGCCAACACUGACGCUCAUGCACGAAAGCGUGGGGAGCAAACAGGAUUAGAUACCCUCGUA